rnacentral:rRNA from 1 species
UGGGGAAUUUUGGACAAUGGGCGAAAGCCUGAUCCAGCAAUGCCGCGUGAGUGAAGAAGGCCUUCGGGUUGUAAAGCUCUUUUGUCAGGGAAGAAACGGUGAGGGCUAAUAUCCCUUGCUAAUGACGGUACCUGAAGAAUAAGCACCGGCUAACUACGUGCCAGCAGCCGCGGUAAUACGUAGGGUGCAAGCGUUAAUCGGAAUUACUGGGCGUAAAGCGUGCGCAGGCGGUUUUGUAAGUCUGAUGUGAAAUCCCAGGGCUCAACCUGGGAAUUGCAUUGGAGACUGCAAGGCUAGAAUCUGGCAGAGGGGGGUAGAAUUCCACGUGUAGCAGUGAAAUGCGUAGAUAUGUGGAGGAACACCGAUGGCGAAGGCAGCCCCCUGGGUCAAGAUUGACGCUCAUGCACGAAAGCGUGGGGAGCAAACA